AAGGAUAACGGGAUAAGAUUACUUGAAUUCAACUGCAGCAACUCCACUGAUCGAAAUUCGAAACUGCCGAUUCUAGAAUAGUUUUGUGGCAAUGGCUUCCACGAGUCUUUCAUGGACUGCAUCUUCAUGGCUUCAGAAUCACGCCUUCUCCAAAAAUACCGCCGCCAAAACUGCCGACGGAGCUCCACUACUCCGAGUUUUAGCUCAAAAGAAGGCCAGAAAACUGCGCAAGGUUAUAUUGAAGGAGGACGUGACAGCAGUGGGGAAAAAGGGGCAGCUGAUGGAUGUGAAAGCUGGAUAUCUUAGGAAUUAUCUGCUGCCGCUGGGCAUGGCGCAGAUUGUCACCCCUCAACUUAUCAAGGAAAUGAAGAUGGAAGAUGAGAGGAUUGAGGCCGAGAAGAAAAGAGUUAAAGAAGAGGCACAGCAGCUUGCCACAAUUUUUGAGACAGUUGGUGCUUUCAAGGUGAAGCGCAAGGGUGGGAAAGGAAAACAAAUUUUUGGAUCUGUCACUGCUCAGGACCUCGUUGACAUUAUCAAGGCCCAACUUCAGAGGGAUGUCGACAAAAGAAUUGUCUCACUUCCAGAAAUCAGAGAAACUGGGGAAUACAUUGCAGAGCUAAAACUCCAUCCUGAUGUCACAGCUCGUGUAAGGGUGACUGUGUAUGCUAACUGAGGACAUUCCAGAGAUACACAUAAAAGCCCAAGUUUCUGAUUUUGGUGAUUUUCUCAAGGAUUCUUCGUGGUUCAGACGGUUAUAUGUUUUACGUCUGAGGAGAAUUCCAUCUCUGUAAGUCUUUGAUCCAAUGUACUUAAUUUUGAGGCUACAAUUGCUUUGGCUUUUUGUAUUAUAUCUAUUUCCUGUUAUAGUUUAUUGGGAUUCAUUAGCAAAUGGGGAUAUGGAAAUGUAGUUGCAUUCUUCUAUCACAACAUCUUCUCACAGAGUUUUAAAAUUUAUGGAAAUCAAUCAUUUGGUGAUCUCAAUAGUUUUCUGAAUAAUAUAUUUAUGUAUAAAGAGAUACAAGCUGGACAUAUACUCAGUAUCUGAAACAGCUAUGUUCAUGUUUUAUGAAAAAAAACUUAUCAGAA